AAAGCUUUAAGUUAAAUAAACUAUUAACCUUCAAAGUUAAAUAUAUAAUAAAAAUUUAUAAGCUUUA
rnacentral:tRNA from 1 species